AUUCCAAUUAGUCGUGACACCAAGGGAUGUGGAAAUACAUGGAAAAUCAUGCAGUGUAUAAUCCAAAAACGAUGACUUGAAAAUAUAAAAGUGUUCGUUACAAGUCGAGGUAGAUACAAGGGACAAACAGAUUAAAUUAAUUCACACUUCAUACUCAAAUCACCAAAGUCAUUUAUCUCAAGCCAAGCCAAAGCUCUUAAAGCCAAAUUCACCACUUACAUUACCAGAGGCCUCCUACUUUUUUCCACGAAGCUUAGUUCCAAGAGCUCUCUCAAGCUUGGUGAUUAUUUGCUGAUUUGGGAUGGCUUUCCCAG
rnacentral:misc_RNA from 1 species